UUAAGUUACCUGACGAUUUCAGUUCACAAAAAGGCGUUGAAGAAUGAUGUUGAGUUGAGUCGUGCUUGAGAAAUAUCUGGUCGUUGGCCAGUUCAACUAUGAAUUUGAGGAUUGCAUCUACAGCAGGGAUGGGUUAUGUUUGAUGCAGGCGUGGGGACUGCUUUGGCCAACUUAUUGUCUGUUCCUUAGCUUUUCAACAUUUUUCUUUUCUCAUGUUGGGCAAGAAGGUUGGUCCACGAUUGUGCCGUGCCCUCGAUCGCUGGUGCUGCAUUGUUCCAUCGUGGAGUCUCUCCCCGAUUCGCCUGCAAAAAGAGAUGCUCGGCUCCCUCUUAAACUGAGAGCUCUUGUAGAAAGAAAAUGGAGAGAAUUGAGAAAGAAAAAGAUCUGAUUUUGGAGAUCGCUAACAUCUCCUACUAAACAAAAAAUAUAGCAGUGGGCAGUGAAGGUACCAUAAAACGUGUUCUGCAUUUUCUCAAAGCCAGGGCACUAAUGUCAAGAUGAUGAAUCUCCAUGGAUCUGUAUCAAACUUUAUUUAUAGUUUAAUAUGCCAAUGUGAAGAUUGCUCUCUCUGAAGGCAGAUACAUGGCCUUGAUCAGGCUGAAAGUAUUAUCAUCAGCGGUCGAAACCUGUUCGGUCAUUGUUUGGUGUUGACAAUGUCUACACCUCAGAGGCUUAAAAAGAACAGAGGAUUUCCACUAUAUUGUGGAUAACAGUGCGAGAUCCAAACCAGAAGUAUGGAGGAAGUAUUAAAUCAACCGUAUUGCUUUCAUGUUUUUGGGAUAAACAUGACAAGUAAUCAAUGGGUGGUUAGAAAGGUGAUUUGCUUAAGUCCUUUAAUAGUUGAGAGCUGAGCUAGAUCUCUUAUUGCCAUCUUUUCUUGAACUAGAACUCAAAUCAGAAUGAUUUGUUAUGGCUGCCAUUGAACAAAAUUGGAAAGCCACUCCUGCAAUAACUGUGUUUCAGCCAGAAAUGUGCUCCAUUUUUGGCUAGGCCGAUGGCAGGGACAAAAGAUCUUCAGAGCUUGGGUAUUACCCAGCUGUUAAUGGCACCAAAAUGAAGUGGGAGGAGCUGUGCAUAUGAUUUUUAAUUCUGUGUAGAGCUUAAUUGGUACUACAUCAGAAGCGAGGACUUCCAACUAUGAUUGUAAUCUUGACAUUGGAAUAGCUCAUUGGCAAUAUUAGGAGUGCAAAUUGACUUGGAAGAUACUAGUCAUGUUCUUUUAUUAUCAUUUUCACAACAGUUUGAUGCAUGUCCGAUGAGAGAAAUCAUGUUCUUUCAUUAUCAUUCACGCAAAGAGAAUACCAGAAUGAUGGAGAACACAUAUGCCCCAUGUAGAAUUAUGAAGAAUAUUUGCAUGGCAGCGGAACCACAGAGAUCGGGUUCUAGAGAUCAUCCGUGUUUCCUAGUAAUUGUAAAUAUAGCUGGUAAAGUAUCAUAUUUAGUUAAGAAUACCUACUUCACAUUAGUAAUUUCAGUUUGGUAUGGGGUUGUGUCGAUGUCUUAUUGUUUCCUAUCUUAUUUAAAGUAAUCUUGGGGAAAUUGGUUGACUAAGUGACUGCAAUGCUUCAGCAUCAUCUGGCUUGUGAUCCUGGUGUGUAUGAAAAUAGAUAAGAAUGAGUUCGAAGUACAUUGCAUGUCAUUAUACAUCAUCAGUCACAAAGAAAGACUCUUCAUCCUUGACAUCACAUGAAUAUGUUCUUAUGCAAACAGAGAGUAUU